UAAAACCAGCACAAGAGGGCCGCGAUAUUCCCGUCUCUGCUUGGUCUGUGUGGUCUGCAAUUAAAACAGCCCUGGAGCCCUUCCACACUGAGGAGGAGAAGGAGGAUUUUCAGGAUGACAUAGGAAAGUUGAAUAAUCAGGAGUCUAAUUAUCAGCAAAGUGAACCAUGACAGUCUCCUUUAAAAAAGGGCGAGAAACGGGAAGGAAUUUCUCUGGGAUUUCCUGAACCAUCAGGAGGGUCCCCGCAUAAGAGAUCAUUUAAGCCACGGGGAGAUCAACUUACAUGAAUUUU